CUCAAAGACGAUGAGGUAGAUAGGUUCGGGGUGGAAGCGUGGCGACACGUGCAGCUGACGAAUACUAAUCGAUCGAGGACUUAACCAA
rnacentral:rRNA from 1 species